AGCGAACGCUGGCGGCAGGCUUAACACAUGCAAGUCGAGCGGGCAUAGCAAUAUGUCAGCGGCAGACGGGUGAGUAACGCGUGGGAACGUACCUUAUGGUUCGGAACAACACUGGGAAACUUGAGCUAAUACCGGAUAAGCCCUUACGGGGAAAGAUUUAUCGCCGAAAGAUCGGCCCGCGUCUGAUUAGCUAGUUGGUGAGGUAAUGGCUCACCAAGGCGACGAUCAGUAGCUGGUCUGAGAGGAUGAUCAGCCACAUUGGGACUGAGACACGGCCCAAACUCCUACGGGAGGCAGCAGUGGGGAAUAUUGGACAAUGGGCGCAAGCCUGAUCCAGCCAUGCCGCGUGAGUGAUGAAGGCCCUAGGGUUGUAAAGCUCUUUUGUGCGGGAAGAUAAUGACGGUACCGCAAGAAUAAGCCCCGGCUAACUUCGUGCCAGCAGCCGCCGUAA
rnacentral:rRNA from 1 species